AUAAAGAGGGUCUGUCUUGGAUAGGCCUCCAAUCCUCCCUUCUCACUUUUGAGCAAUAUCUUGAACACCUCUAUGGUGUUAAUAAUGAUCCAGCAUGGUACAUGGAUAGUGGAGCCUUAAACCCUGGAACUAAUCAAGCUGGAACUAGCUCGAGCCAAGAAAAUGGAAAAGCGCCUAAGGCUUAGAACAUUGGUUCCCAAUCUGUAGGCCUCUAUUUGAUUCAUAAUGUGUA